UGGGGAAUAUUGGACAAUGGGCGAAAGCCUGAUCCAGCCAUGCCGCGUGUGUGAAGAAGGUCUUCGGAUUGUAAAGCACUUUAAGUUGGGAGGAAGGGCAGUAAGCGAAUACCUUGCUGUUUUGACGUUACCGACAGAAUAAGCACCGGCUAACUCUGUGCCAGCAGCCGCGGUAAUACAGAGGGUGCAAGCGUUAAUCGGAAUUACUGGGCGUAAAGCGCGCGUAGGUGGUUCGUUAAGUUGAAUGUGAAAGCCCCGGGCUCAACCUGGGAACUGCAUCCAAAACUGGCGAGCUAGAGUAGGGCAGAGGGUGGUGGAAUUUCCUGUGUAGCGGUGAAAUGCGUAGGUAUAGGAAGGAAAACCAGUGGCGAAGGCGACCACCUGGGCUCAUACUGACACUGAGGUGCGAAAGCGUGGGGGGCAAACAGG
rnacentral:rRNA from 1 species